rnacentral:rRNA from 1 species
GACGGAAGGUGCAAGCGUUGCUCGGAAUCACUGGGCGUAAAGGGUGCGUAGGCGGCCGCGCAAGUCUGGCGUGAAAGCCCCGGGCUCAGCCCGGGAAGGGCGCUCGAAACGGCGCGGCUCGAGUGCCGGAGGGGAGAGUGGAAUUCUUGGUGUAGCAGUGAAAUGCGUAGAGAUCAAGAGGAACACUCGUGGCGAAAGCGAGCUACUGGACAAUUCCUGACGCUGAGGCUCGAAGGCUAGGGUAGCGAAAGGG